UGGACUGGAGACACUUAAUACCUACUUGUAGGCUAUUUUGAGGAUGAGAGAUUACGCGUGCCUGGUGCCUACCGGAGCUUAGUACACAGCACGGAAGUGGCUGGUGGCUUUUUUGUAAUUAAAAACAGCAAGGUUUUAGAGAAUGAACUGCAGUCCGUUCUUACAGGUGCUCAAGGCGACAUAUACAAGGAGGUGCACUGUGGCAGUGUUGAAACAGUGGAAACAAUCAACUGUCUCUCUUGGUUGAGAUGCUAGAAUCUAAUCAGGCAAGAAGUUAGCAUCUGUUUCAUGUGGGCGAGUGGGUACAGAAGUCUAUCAUAUUAUUUUCUGUAAUGUUUUUGUGUUU